rnacentral:rRNA from 1 species
GAGUUUGAUCCUGGCUCAGAUUGAACGCUGGCGGCAUGCCUUACACAUGCAAGUCGAACGGCAGCAUGAUCUAGCUUGCUAGAUUGAUGGCGAGUGGCGAACGGGUGAGUAAUACAUCGGAACGUGCCCUGUAGUGGGGAUAACUAGUCGAAAGAUUAGCUAAUACCGCAUACGACCUGAGGGUGAAAGUGGGGGACCGCAAGGCCUCAUGCUAUAGGAGCGGCCGAUGUCUGAUUAGCUAGUUGGUGGGGUAAAGGCCCACCAAGGCGACGAUCAGUAGCUGGUCUGAGAGGACGAUCAGCCACACUGGGACUGAGACACGACCCAGACUCCUACGGGAGGCAGCAGUGGGGAAUUUUGGACAAUGGGCGAAAGCCUGAUCCAGCAAUGCCGCGUGUGUGAAGAAGGCCUCGGUGUAAG